GGAGGAGCGUGCGGUUUAAUUGGAUUCAACGCCGGAAAACUCACCAGGGCCGACUGUUAUAUGAAGACCAGCGUAAUGAGCUUGUCGGAUUUUCAGAGAGGUGGUGCAUGGCCGUCGUCAGUUCGUACUGUAAAGCGUUCUGUUAAGUCAGAUAACGAACGAGACCCUCAUCUCUAUUUGCAACCCGUCUCUCCGGAGGCGGCGCACUAUAGAGAGACCGCUGGUGUGAAACCAGAGGAAGGCGAGGGCAACGACAGGUCAGUAUGCCCCGAAUGUCCUGGGCUACACGCGCGCUACAAAGGACGGGACAAUGGGAAGCUAGGCCGAGAGGCCACGCUAACCCGAAACCCGUUCAUAGUUCGGAUUGAGGGCUGUAACUCGCCCUCAUGAAGCUGGAUUCCGUAGUAAUCGUGUUUCAAUAUAGCACGGUGAAUAUGCCCCUGCUCCUUGCACACACCGCCCGUCAAACCAUCUUAGUUGGGGGUGGGUGAGGCUGCGCUUUAUGGCGUAUUCGAGCCUGCCUUCGACAAGGAGGGUUAAGUCGUAACAAGGUAUCUGUAGGGGAACCUGCAGAUGGAUCACCUCCU
rnacentral:rRNA from 1 species